CUACGGGAUGCUGCAGUGAGGAAUAUUGCACAAUGGGGGGAACCCUGAUGCAGCAACGCCGCGUGGAGGAUGACGCAUUUCGGUGUGUAAACUCCUUUUAUAUGUCAAGAAAAUGACGGUAGCAUAUGAAUAAGCACCGGCUAACUCCGUGCCAGCAGCCGCGGUAAUACGGAGGGUGCAAGCGUUACUCGGAAUCACUGGGCGUAAAGGACGCGUAGGCGGGCUAGUAAGUCAGGUGUGAAAUCCUACAGCUUAACUGUAGAACUGCACUUGAAACUACGAGCCUAGAGUAUGGGAGGGGGAGAUGGAAUUAGUGGUGCAGGGGUAAAAUCCGUAGAUAUCACUAGGAAUACCUAAAGCGAAGGCGAUCUCCUGGAACAUAACUGACGCUAAGGCGUGAAAGCGUGGGGAGCAAACAGGAUUAGAUACCCUAGUAGUC
rnacentral:rRNA from 1 species